rnacentral:tRNA from 1 species
GACGCCAUCGUCUAGUGGCCUAGGACACAGGGUUUUCAUCCCUGUAACCGCGGGUUCGACUCCCGCUGGCGUCA